AGAUUUGCGCAGUGGCAGUAUUGUAGCCAAUGAGGUUUAUCCGAGGCGCGAUUAUUGCUAAUUGAAAAAAAUUCAGGACUGGAUAGCUUCACAUCUCAGUUUAAAGAAAGAAAAACUAGCACCAGUUCUUCUCAAAUGUGUGCAAAUAUUCAAAGCCA
rnacentral:snRNA from 1 species